rnacentral:rRNA from 1 species
AUUAUGGAGAGUUUGAUCCUGGCUCAGAGUGAACGCUGGCGGCGUGCCUAAUACAUGCAAGUCGAACGAUGAAGCUUUUAGCUUGCUAGAAGUGGAUUAGUGGCGCACGGGUGAGUAAGGUAUAGUUAAUCUGCCCUACACAAGAGGACAACAGUUGGAAACGACUGCUAAU